CAGUAGCCGCGGUAAUACGUAGGGUGCGAGCGUUAAUCGGAAUUACUGGGCGUAAAGCGUGCGCAGGCGGUUAUAUAAGACAGAUGUGAAAUCCCCGGGCUCAACCUGGGACCUGCAUUUGUGACUGUAUGGCUAGAGUGUGUCAGAGGGGGGUAGAAUUCCACGUGUAGCAGUGAAAUGCGUAGAUAUGUGGAGGAAUACCGAUGGCGAAGGCAGCCCCCUGGGAUAACACUGACGCUCAUGCACGAAAGCGUGGGGAGCAAACAGGAUUAGAUACCCGCGUAGUCCCUGUCUCUUAUAC
rnacentral:rRNA from 1 species